GAUUCAGUAGUGUAGGGGUAUCAUGGGCGCUUGCCAUUGCAUCUUGCAUUAGCAUUCUGCGCCCGACCCGGGUUCAAAUCCCGGCUGAAUCA